GCUCCUCCCCCGCAGAAAGCUAGCUAGCCACAAGGAAGGAAAAGCUGAAAACUUAACAGGAAAGAGUACCUCCUGAGAGAAGGAAUUUCAGAGCCUGGCACUGCAGUCAACAAGCAACUCCUCUGGCGGUGGUGAGCCACAAAGCAGACGCUCACCUGACCUUAACAAGACAGGAUCACAGAAUCCUCCCGAUGCCCCAAUGAGCCACAUUAUCAGUCAGACGUCUAAUCCUUGUUAGCAUCACUUGCUUCCACUGUCAGCUUACUGGGGCUUUCUUUCUACCAAUGCCUUCCUUGUCAUGGAUUCUUCCUGUCCCCAGGCAUGAAUAGGAAAGUACAAAGAGCCCUGCUGGAUCAGACCAAAGAUCCAUUUAGUCCAGCAUCCUGUUUUCCACAUAGUGACCAGCCAGAUGCUUCCAGAAAACCCUCCGAGUAUUGAAGGCAAAUGACCUCCCCCACUGUUCCCUCCCAGCAACUGAUCACUGUUCCCUCCCAGCAACUGAUCACAGCCAAGAACUGGUGACAGACAUGAGUGUGUCUAAUCCUCUUUUAAAGUCUUUUAAAUUAAAGCUAAUAGCCUCCA